rnacentral:rRNA from 1 species
GACGAACGCUGGCGGCGUGCUUAACACAUGCAAGUCGAACGGUGAAGGGACCGGUUUUUGCUGGUUCUGGAUGCGUGGCGCACGGGUGAGUAACACGCGAGUAACCUUCCCCUUUCUUCUGGAUAACCGCAUGAAAGUGUGGCUAAUACGGGAUAUUCACCGUCUGCUGCAUGGCGGGUGUGGGAAAGAUAUUGUUCCCUGUGGGGAUGGCCUCGCGGCCUAUCAGCUUGUUGGUGGGUUGCUGCCCUACCAAGGCGGUGACGGGUAGCCGGCAUGAGAGGGUGUGCGGUCACACUGGGACUGAGACACGGGCAAGACACUUACGCGGGACAGAGGUGGGGGGUAUUGUACAAUGGGCGCGAGCGUGAUGCAGCGACGCCGCGUGAGGAGUGGGGCCGUUCGGGUUGUAAUCCUCUUUCGCUAGUGAGGCAGGCCUGUCGCUUUUGUGGGUGGGUUGACGGUAGCUGGAGAAGAAGCGCCGGCUAACUACGUG